rnacentral:rRNA from 1 species
UACGGAGGGUCCGAGCGUUGUCCGGAGUUACUGGGCGUAAAGCGCGCGCAGGCGGCGGUGCUGGCCCGGCGUGAAAGCCCCCGGCUCAACCGGGGAGGGUCGUCGGGGACCGCACCGCUUGAGGGCGGUAGGGGCUGGUGGAAUGCCUGGUGUAGUGGUGAAAUGCGUAGAGAUCAGGCGGAACACCUGGGGCGAAGGCGGCCAGCUGGGCCGUCCCUGACGCUGAGGCGCGAAGGCGUGGGGAGCGAACGGG